GCACAAGCGGAGGAACAUGUGGUUUAAUUCGAUGAUACGCGAGGAACCUUACCUGGGCUUAAAUGUAGAGUGCAUUUUUAGAGAUAGAAAUUCCCUUCGGGGCUUUCUGCAAGGUGCUGCAUGGUUGUCGUCAGCUCGUGUCGUGAGAUGUUGGGUUAAGUCCCGCAACGAGCGCAACCCCUACGUUUAGUUGCUAACAGGUGAAGCUGAGCACUCUAGACGAACUGCCGUUGACAAAACGGAGGAAGGUGGGAUGACGUCAAAUCAUCAUGCCCCUUAUGUUCUGGGCUACACACGUGCUACAAUGGCCGGUACAGACGGAGGCGAAGCCGCGAGGCGGAGCAAAUCCGAAAAAGCCGGUCUCAGUUCGGAUUGCAGGCUGCAAUUCGCCUGCAUGAAGUCGGAAUCGCUAGUAAUCGCAGGUCAGCAUACUGCGGUGAAUACGUUCCCGGGCCUU
rnacentral:rRNA from 1 species